UUUUUUUUUUUCUCCAUGUUGUUACAGUGACUUUUGGCCCCACAUUCUGAUUUCAGUUACAAAGAAAUAUGAUCAGUACCAUAUAAUUAAUCUUAUUGAAAUCACAAAUCUUCUGCCAUGAUCCCAAUAUGAUUUUUCUAAUCUAGAUAUAGCUGACAAAAGACUGGAAAGCCAAAUUCUCAGGCACUGUUGAGAAACUACGAUCAUAUAAACCACUGAAGAAUCUGUUCUAAUCUUUGUUGGUAUCUCUUUUGCAUCUAGAAUUUGCUAUCCUGAUCUAUUCCAAAGUCCACGUACUCUUCUCACUAUCCAUUCCUGUCUAAGUAGGAGAAAACCAUUCACCUCUUACCUUUGUAUAGUCUAACAAUACUCUUUUUGUGUGAUUUUUUUCCCCAGGAAGCUAAUUUUUGUUUUCCAUGACAAAGCUUAGGAAACAACCUUUUUAUUCAGAUCACACAGACUGCCUUGCCUUGCCGUUUACUUCUGUAUUUUAAAUUUGUUUACAAGUAGAAAAAACACUGAAAGAGAACUGGCUUAAUAAACCUAACUUUUUUAGGAAUCAUUCCCUUUUGAAACAAAUCCUCAGCUCCUCCUCUAAUUUGUGUAGUAAGAAUCACAAUUUAUUCCAGAGGUGAAAUAUCAAUAAAUAUUUAAUAGCAGUUAAGUUCUGCAGGAAAUAUACCUGAAAUCUUUAUUCUAAGCAAGUAGCUUAUUUCCUGUUUCUGAGCUGUUCUCCUGACACCUUCUUUGCUGUUUAAAUUUCAUAUGCUUUCUCUUCAUAUGUUUUCUCAAAGUAACACUCCCCUGGUAUAACUCUGUCUCUGACUUAUUGUUGUCUAUAAAUGCAUGUAAUGUCCUCUUGCAUUUAGUCUGACUAUUGGAAUUUUAAUGUUCUAAUGGUAAAAAUAAAAAGCUUUUUCCAGAUGAAAAUCCAAACCAAGCUUACAAUUCCAUUUUUACAUCAUACUGGAAUAUGGGAAAUUUUGCUCUGCAACAGCAAAGGGAUUUGCAAACAGAAUUCAUGCUCUGAAUAAAAAAAAAUAAUCUACUUUGGGCUUGAUUAUUCACUCCUCUGUUUUUUGACUAAGAAUUUUUUGUUACUUUUUCCUAGAAAUGUGUAAGGUUCUCAGUUAAGCUCCCAAUACAAUAGUGGCAGAACAGCAGCCUAAGGAACAGUAAACCUCUGGGCCAGGGUGAAGAUUUCUGGACAAGUCAAAGCAACCAAGCAGGGGUAGGUAAGUGGAGUAAUCCAUUUUACAUAUUGCAUGGAUAGUGAUGUUGCCUGAUCAUAGGCAACUGCUGUUCAUUUCUGAUCUGGAAGUGUGUGAUCAGUUUCCUCCUGCCUUUGGUCAUGGACCAAAGUGUUCAUUUUGGAAGACAUGAUUGAGAAGACUGUUCAGCAAUACGUAGUUUUUCCUACCAUUGUGUAUGAUUCACAGCAAAUGUUUCAGAGCAAGCCACAGCCUGAGGACAAAGCUGCCAGCACUGAAGCAGACCCUUGUGACCUUGGUCAUGGUGCUGGACUUUUCUCCAACCUUUGACACACAGAAAUAAAAGACAAUUCUAAUAUACCCACAUAAAAUAAAUGAGAAAAGACGCUCUAGACUGUUGGUUUCUUUCUGACAUAACUUUAAGGCAUGUGAUGGCUUUUCUCCUCCUUUCUGUCUCGCUUCAAUACAGUCAUGAAACUGCUGGGAGAGAAAUGUCAGUGACACUACUGUGUGUGUGCAAGUGGAGUGUGAUGUUCACAGUGAUGGGACGACAGCUGUGACUAAGAGGCUGAGAACUGAGCUCUUGAGUGAAGAGCUACUGCCUCAAACCAAACCACCAAAGUCAUGACUGAAGGGGCGGCAAAAUCCUCUAAGAGCAGGGAAAGACAUCAAGGAUAUCACCAUUGCUAAGAAACACAGAAGAAUGCUACAUUUCCAACACACCUAGCAAGCACCUCUUCCCCUCUUCGGAUGCAAAACUCUGAACUCUGAGAAGGUUCAGUUGCCAGAAAUGAGAUGAACCACUAAGGUUCUGGAAAACCCUUGAAUAAUGCCAUGGUGGGUAAUAGCAGCAAACCCUAAAUAGAGACAAAUUAUGCAAACGGCAGAACGAGGGGAAUGUACAUAAGUGCUUUUUGUGCCCUGGCCUAUUUCAGGCCAGGCACUUCCUAGUCAAGCAGGAAAGAGGAACGCACUCGCCCCGUGGUUCAGGGAGACAUUUGUACUGGUAAUGCCUAUGGAGGACAAUGCAGUGCCAGCUCUGCCUGACCUAGCCCCAGACUUAGAAGCAAAACGUUCACAGAAUUAGCACAGGACUCCUUCUGAGCUGCUUAGUCACAUUGAAAAGCAAGGUGUAUUAAGCUUAGACCACACACUGGGUUAAUACCGUUAUAUUGUUGCUGUACGCUAGCCAGAGCAUCUGCAUGGACUGUACUUACACCUUCCAGACCAUACCACAUGUCUGGUAUCCUACCUUUAUUCAAGUGAUCUGCUAGGAAUAUGAACUGAAAUGUAUCUUCUCUGCUACUACUGCAUACAGCUUGAGUAUCUAUUCUCUUGCCCUGCACUGCCUACAACAGCUCUUAUAUAUGCAACUCCUCAGGAACCACCUGGGGAAAGAGGAAAGAUCUCCAUAUAUCUCUUGCAAGAUCUCCAUAUCUCACUCACUUCACAAAGAGUGAAGGUGAGGUAUAAAAAGACUUGGUCAAGUUCAGCAGUGAGGACUCUAAAACAUGGCUCUAUGGUGAGGGAAAUAAACUGGUUACAAUGUUUUCUGGACCUUUUUCCAGCUUCCCGCUUUCUGCCAUUCAGGGUAGUGCAAUGAAAACUGUCUUUUCUCCUUGUGACUCAUGAAAUCCUAGUGCCUACUCUUUGAGCAGCUGAGAUAAAAGGAUCUGUAGGCAUCACCCUUCCCCAGGCAAAACAGACACUGAGAAGGAAGAAGAUGGACCUGGGGCUGGAGAAGAUAGAUUAAAAUGGCACAAAUCACAGAUAUUUACAUUCCUGGUGGCAAUAUUAUCCAGACAGCUAAAUGACGUCCACACCUUCGUCUAUUUGCCCCUAUUCCUAUUAGUUAGUUAAGAAAGUUUCCAGCAUGUUAUUUAUACCAUAGCUGCUGGCUCAAAACCCAAGGAAAAUUAUUAUGAAAACAAAGAAGAAAAAAGAUACAUGGGCAUGAGCAACAACUUUUUUUCACAUCCUGCUUUUUGCUUAUACCUGUUUGCUAUUCGUGGCAGCUAGAUCAUUUUGUAGAACUUAACUGUAUUUGCAAAGCUGCAGUAUUUAAAAGCAGGCUUUGUUCUUGCUUCAGACCUGCUGACAAAAUUUAAAACGCUCUUUGGUACUAUGGCUUUUGACAUCAAUGUAAUUAACAGCUAUUACAUUUUACAGAAUUACACAGCACCCCAGUUCUUACAAUGCUCGUGACUGGUUACACAUCCUCUGUUCAGGAAGUGGUCUGAGCUGUUGUAUCACCUGAGCUAUCAGGUGACCAUUUAAUAAGCAUAAACAUGCUUUAGCAAUGUCACUGACUGAAGAGUUAGCACAUGAAAAUCCACUGCUUCAAGAUACAGCUAAACAGGAGCCGAGUACCGGUGCCGCAGAAGCAUCAUCUUUGUACCUGAAGGUGGCACUAGAACCACAGGGAAGAGACCCAUCCCACUGCUGCAAUAUUUUUAUUAUAGAUUUUUAAUAUAUUAUUUAAUAUAUUACCAGAGAAAUUUAAGAGGAUGUGCAAGCCCAUCUGGCAAGGCUUGCCUGCCGACUGUAAAAUACAUAUUUUUUACAUGUGUCAUGGAUUAGGAAUGCAACAAUCAGUC
rnacentral:lncRNA from 1 species